rnacentral:rRNA from 1 species
UACGAAGGACCCAAGCGUUAUCCGGAUUUAUUGGGUUUAAAGGGUGCGUAGGCGGGUUGUUAAGUCAGUGGUGAAAUCUCCGGGCUUAACCCGGAAACUGCCAUUGAUACUAUUUGUCUUGAAUACUGUGGAGGUCAGCGGAAUAUGUCAUGUAGCGGUGAAAUGCUUAGAUAUGACAUAGAACACCAAUUGCGAAGGCAGCUGGCUACACAAAUAUUGACACUGAGGCACGAAAGCGUGGGGAUCAAACAGG